rnacentral:tRNA from 1 species
GAGGGUACAGCUCAGUGGUAGAGCACGUGCUUAGCAUGCAUGGGUCCUGGGUUCAAUCCCCAGUGCCUCCA